rnacentral:lncRNA from 1 species
UCUAUUUCAAAUGUUGAUUAUACUCUCCACAUAUAUAUACAACUAUCUAUGUAAUUAAUUGACUAUUAUUUGGAUGAAGGUUGAGUACAAAGUUGAUGGUAGGAUAGAAUAUUUGACCCAAAUUGAGGCUUUGUAUGCUAUGGCAAAGAGUGAGGACUUCUCGACAGUUCAACGAACACCAAAUGCAAGGUAUUUAUAAAUUUUUAACAAAAUACGUUAUAAUAAAAACUCAAAUUAUCGAUAAAAAUCAAAGACGAGUGAGUUAGUCUCUAAUUUUGUUGUUUUUAUGUUUAAUGGUCGAUUUGAAUUGUAGAUCUUUUAAUUUUUGUUUUCACUUUUUUUUGGGUAAUUCGACUUUUUUUAGUAGUAAUAUUGACAAGAAAAUAGAUGAAUUUUUAGGUUUACAUAUGAUAUAUUCUUAUCUAUUCAUUGAGUGCUAACAAUAUAGUUGAUCUUGUUUUCCUUGAAUGUACUACGUACUAUUAAAGGAAUGGUUCAAAGAG